AAAAUAGGGGAGGCGCGUUUUUGGGGAAGGCUAUAGGGACGACUUGUCGUCCCCAUAGCUUUCUAUGCCUUAAAUCAAGAGAACAACCUUCUUCGUUUCAUUCCUGCACAUUCAAUCAUCAGUCUCUCUUUCAAGAGAGAGAGAGAGAGAGAGAGAGAGAGAGAGAGCGAUCGAAGAUUCUCCCAUCCUUAAUUUCAGCCAUUAUCUUCUCCUCCAACGAUUUCCUCACCUCCCACUCCCUGUGAAUGUUCUUCCUCUCUCCAUAGAUUAUGAUACUAGUUUCUGAACACAAUCGUGGGCUCAACAAUGACGAUUAGUUUCAAUGCCGAUCUGACUACCGCCUUCCUUUUCACAUCCGGCUAUAAAUUCUAUCGAAUACAAGCUCCACUCCUGCUAUCACGUUAGUAAUUCUCUGUUUAUUGAGGUAAAUGUUAGAAAUUAUGUGUUUGAAAUUGAAAUUGGGAUAUAGGUUAAGGAUGAUGAUGACGACAAACUCAAAUUCGAUAACUAUUUGUUUUCAGUAUUGCUCUGUUGUUUCAACUUUAACUUCUAUUAGUUCCAUUUUGUAGGCUUUUGCAGAUCCGCUCAUUGAUCCACAGUGAAUGUUAAUUCUUACUGUUGCAGCUACUUUGAGAACAAUUGGAUAUGAAAUUGAGGUUUACUCCUUUAAAGAGGGGCAUGUGUAUGUUGUCUGCAUAUUGGAGCUCUUGUGAAUAUUUUGGAAGCUAGUGGGGAUAAAAAAGACUAUAAUUUACUGGCUCAACUAUGAUGUCAUACUUACGAAUUCUUUUCAAGCAAAAGAAGCAAAUUCCAGGCCUUUUGCAGGAACCCUUUAAAUCUUUACCACUUAUCUGAACUAUCCAUGAAAAAACACUUGAUAUCAGGUAAAUUAGUAUGGCAUUGCUUCAAUCUCCUUCAAGAAUUCAAUUCUAUCGAAAGAAGCUAUUUGUGUUAAUUGCCUGAUGGAAUGGAAUACGAAGAAAUAUCACUCCUCCAUUUUGUUAACUUUCAUUUUUAUGGCGGAAUAUUCAUUAUAACCCCGUUAAAUAAUAAACAUUAUACUUAUAGUUAAAUAUAUCUAGAUUUGGUUAUUUUUAUUUAUUUUUACUAGUUUAUGAUUUUUGUCAUUUUAUUGUUAUACUUGCAAAAAUAUAGGUUGUGUCUGCUACUGCAAAUUCAGAUCUCCCUGCAGUAAUUAAGGAAAGAAUUCAUAAUUUCAUAAUAAAACACUAAAAAGUUAGGGUCAGGCCUAGCUGAAUUAAUUGUAGAUGAAGCUGAUUGUAAUAAACUAUUUUCAGGCCUGCCAUUUGGCUAAACAAGCUUUUGAUGAGACAAUUAAUGAGUUGGACUCAUUAAGUGAAGAAUCUUACAAUGACAUCACCAGGUAAAUGGUUAACUUUAUUAUUAUAUCAUUUCGGUUUCAUCUUACUUGCAAAAGUUUCUUCAAUUCAUGAAUUUCUCCCAAUUGUAUGUUUUCAG